AUUGAACGCUGGCGGCAGGCCUAACACAUGCAAGUCGAGCGGAUGAAGGGAGCUUGCUCCUGGAUUCAGCGGCGGACGGGUGAGUAAUGCCUAGGAAUCUGCCUGGUAGUGGGGGAUAACGUCCGGAAACGGGCGCUAAUACCGCAUACGUCCUGAGGGAGAAAGUGGGGGAUCUUCGGACCUCACGCUAUCAGAUGAGCCUAGGUCGGAUUAGCUAGUUGGUGGGGUAAAGGCCUACCAAGGCGACGAUCCGUAACUGGUCUGAGAGGAUGAUCAGUCACACUGGAACUGAGACACGGUCCAGCCUCCUACGGGAGGCAGCAGUGGGGAAUAUUGGACAAUGGCGAAAGCCUGAUCCAGCCAUGCCGCGUGUGUGAAGAAGGUCUUCGGAUUGUAAAGCACUUUAAGUUGGGAGGAAGGGCAGUAAGUUAAUACCUUGCUGUUUUGACGUUACCAACAGAAUAAGCACCGGCUAACUUCGUG
rnacentral:rRNA from 1 species